UUAUCAAAUGCCUUUUUGCCCACUUUACACAUUUAAACCCCCUCCAGGGGGUCCCCACGCUUACAGUUCUCUGGUUGUAAAGGCCACGUGUUCCUGUGCUAACUUCCCUGCUGCGGGCCUGGGCUCCCGCACCGGCCAUACUGUUUUCUGUCUAUGGCUUACAUUAAGCCAUGUGAGUUUUCUGGUGAGACAUCAAUGUUCUAAAUGUGAAGACAAGCCUUUUUACUCCCAUUGUCAGUGCUUAAGAUUUCACAAUCUACAAUUUUUUUUUUUUUUUUUUUUUUUUUGCAUUUCUAUUUACAUUUCAUUUAUUACCUGUUAUUGGGAACUUCUGGUGACAUGACUUUGCUGGCCGUGUGUACUUCUUCAGCACUGAAACAACUGAUGGGAAGAACACACGU